AUAUCUCUCUGUACGGGAAGGAUGAGAAGCUUCGACUAAGGUUCGAUUCGAGCGCAGCGAGAAAGCGUUGCCGCAGGCAACGACCCGAAGGGCGAAGCGCGCAGCGCUGAGUCAUCCUUCCUCCACCACCA
rnacentral:sRNA from 1 species